UAUCAUUUCUUCCACAUCUUGAUAUCUAGGGCUAUCUCCUCACAACACGAAUCUUGACAUCUCCCUCCUCCACUAUUCCACUAUCAGCUCCGGAUAGAUCUUAUCAUGGUAUCAGAGCUCAGCAAGGGUCUAUGCUGGUAAGUAGAAUUGGGUUUUUUUACUAUUUGUUACGAUUUGGGGAUUUCAUUGCAACUUGUGAUUUGGGCAUUUUAGCUGCAUUCUGUGAUUUACAUUUUGGGGAUCCAUACAAUCAAUGAUUUCCGAUUUUUAUACGAUUUUUGUUUUUUAUUCCAUCUUUGAGUGAUUAAACAAAUGGAAAAAGGUAAGACCAAGACAUAAAAUGUAGAAUGGAGUUCCUUUGAGCAGGAACAACCAAUUGACACAAAUAAGAAGAACGAUGCUGAGGGAAAAUAGUUAAAGGAGAUCGAAGAAAGAAAAAAUUAGUGUUGAAAAUUGCUCACAACAAAGCAUUAAUUCUUUUGGAAUUCCGUACACAACUGAGGGUUCUGGUGCUCGUCUUGUUUCAAAAGUGUUGACUGGAGAAGAAAAUUAUUACACAUGGUACACAUCAAUGUGAGUGACGUUGGUGGCUAGAGGAAAGCUUGGCUAUGUUACUGGAGAGCUGGGCAGACAUCUAAAGGGAAACUACUACAAAGUCUAAGAAUUGGGAAUAAAAUAAUGGUUUGGUUCUAAGUUGGAUAUAUAAUGUUGUCUCUGUGGAUAUUGGUACAACCCUAAUGUUUAGUGGUAUCGCAUCACUAAUUUGGAAAGGAUUUGGAGUAGAGAUUCAAGCAAGCAAAUGUGUCCCAACCUUUUCAGAUGAAAGCAGAUAUUACACAUCUCAGUCAGGAACAAGAUACAAUGGUAGUUUACUAUGGGAAGCUUAAGUCAUUGUGGGACAGACUUGACUCUUGUGUGCCCAAACCCUACUGUAAAUGUGGAAAAUGUGUUUGUGGUGUGCUAUAUGAGGUUGUCAAAAUACAAAACAAUGAUAGGGUCAUCUAAUUUUUAUUAAGUCUGAAUGGGAACUAUAUCAACAUAAUAUGGGACAGAUCCUAUCUGCUGAAAAGUUACCAAACUUGGCCAAAACAUAUGCUCUAGUCUACCAAGAAGAGAAACAGAAAGGUGCUUAUAAGAGGAAGACCAAUGAGGUAUCUGCAUAUCAAGUAUCUGUGGAGACAACAAAGAAGAACAUAAACAAACAAUGCAAGAAAGAAAGAAUCACAGUGAGCAAGAGUGGAAAGCAAUUGGACACCAGUACCUUUUGUGAGCAUUGUAACAUGUAUAGACAUGUUAAAGAAGGAUGUUAUAGGCUGAUUGAUUUCCCAAACAAGACAGGGAAAAUUCACAAGGUGAAUCAGACAUCAACUGGUGGUGGUGAAGCAGGUCAGAGAGAAGAAGGAAAUCAUGAUGGAUUCACAGUAGAGCAAUUCAAGACACUCCAGAAACUCAUAGAGAAAGGAUCUUCAAGUAUGAUAAAUUCAAGAAUUGUAUUCUGCAAUAAAAUUUCAAUUUUUAAAAAUAAAACCAAGACUGAAUUAAAUAUAAUAGAUUCAGGUGCGGCUGAACAAAUGCAUGACUGGAAACUAUAGUCUCUUGACAAAUGUGAGAAGUUACAUGCACCCCACUAGUGUAGUGGGGCAUCAUUUAUGGUGAAUAAAAUAGGUGAUAUUACAAUAUCACCAACCCUAAUUUAUGGCACAGGCAAAUGCAAGGACAAAGAACUCACCAUGCUGGGGACUGACGUGGGCGUAUACGGCAGCGAUAGUAUGGGGAAUCUGGACUGAAAGGAACAGGAGAGUGCAUGAGGACAGACGCACGAGCCCACAGGAGAUAGGAAGGAGGACAGUGCAGGAUGUGACAGCGACAUUCAAGGUGGACAGAUAUAAAGCAAAAGGUACGAGAAGGGAACAGAGAUGGAUGGAUAUAUGGACUGGAGGUGCCCAGUUGGCGAGAACGUGAAACUUGUCUUAAUUGUUUAAUAUUUGUUGCUGAGUCUGUAAUCUUAUUUUAAUAGGAACUUGUAUUAAGGGAAACAAAAACUGAGGUAUGUGGUGGGAUGGGGUUCAACUAAAAAUAGAACCCUGUCUUGUCAAAUACUAUGGGGGAACAUUUGGUGAAUGGAAUGACCUAAAAAGUCAUAUCCAUAUAGAGGUCUAUCCCCCAGGGGGUGGACUCUAUUAUCAAAGUAGAAACGAUAUGUGGAGUCACUUAUGUGUAGUAGACCGAAAGGUAAUGGCAGAGUUUUCCCUUGGCAAAGGAAAAGAUGCCUUGAGCACACCAGGGUUUUUACACUCCCCAUUGCCUUAGGCCCACUACGUAAGAACGAUGAGGCAUAGAUCGUUCUAGGAAACAUCGAGUCAGUUCCCCAAAGGUUGUGAAGGCCCAAACGAUCGUAAGAUCCGGGGUCGGAACAAUGCGGAGGGUGUGGGGUGGAUCGCAUGUGAUCACACCCUUUUUUUUGUUUCGGAAUCUAUAUUAUCAGUUGAUUUUGCUUCAAAAAAAA
rnacentral:lncRNA from 1 species